rnacentral:rRNA from 1 species
UACGGAGGGUGCAAGCAUUGAUCGGAAUUACUGGGCGUAAAGGGCGCGUAGGCGGCUGAAAAAGUCGGAUGUGAAAUUCCGGGGCUCAACCCCGGAGCUGCAUUUGAAACUCUUCAGCUAGAGUUCAGUUAGGGAAAAUGGAAUUCCACGUGUAGCGGUGAAGUGCGUAGAUAUGUGGAAGAACACCGGUGGUGAAGACGAUUUUCUGGGCUGAGACUGACGCUGAGGCGCGAAAGCUAGGGGAGCAAACAGG